rnacentral:rRNA from 1 species
ACGGAAGGCAGCAGUGAGGAAUAUUGGUCAAUGGGCGGAAGCCUGAACCAGCCAAGUCGCGUGAGGGAAGAAGGUCCUACGGAUUGUAAACCUCUUUAGCCGGGGAGCAAUAAGCGCUAUGUAUAGCGUGAUGAGAGUACCCGGAGAAUAAGGAUCGGCUAACUCCGUGCCAGCAGCCGCGGUAAUACGGAGGAUCCGAGCGUUAUCCGGAUUUAUUGGGUUUAAAGGGUGCGCAGGCGGCACGUUAAGUCAGCGGUGAAAUGUCGGGGCUCAACCCGGGCACUGCCGUUGAAACUGGCGAGCUUGAGUACGGAUGAAGUCGGCGGAAUGUGAUGUGUAGCGGUGAAAUGCUUAGAUAUGUCACAGAACACCGAUUGCGAAGGCAGCUGACUAAUCCGCAACUGACGCUCAGGCACGAAAGCGUGGGGAUCGAACAGGAUUAGAUACCCUGGUA